rnacentral:rRNA from 1 species
GACGAACGCUGGCGGCGUGCCUAAUACAUGCAAGUAGAACGCUGAAGAGAGGAGCUUGCUCUUCUUGGAUGAGUUGCGAACGGGUGAGUAACGCGUAGGUAACCUGCCUUGUAGCGGGGGAUAACUAUUGGAAACGAUAGCUAAUACCGCAUAACAAUGGAUUACACAUGUCAUUUAUUUGAAAGGGGCAAUUGCUCCACUACAAGAUGGACCUGCGUUGUAUUAGCUAGUAGGUGAGGUAAUGGCUCACCUAGGCGACGAUACAUAGCCGACCUGAGAGGGUGAUCGGCCACACUGGGACUGAGACACGGCCCAGACUCCUACGGGAGGCAGCAGUAGGGAAUCUUCGGCAAUGGGGGCAACCCUGACCGAGCAACGCCGCGUGAGUGAAGAAGGUUUUCGGAUCGUAAAGCUCUGUUGUAAGUCAAGAACGGGUGUGAGAGUGGAAAGUUCACACUGUGACGGUAGCUUACCAGAAAGGGACGGCUAACUACGUG